UUGGGCACUUUAUUGGGACUGCCGAUGACAAAUCGGAGGAAGGUGGGGAUGACGUCAAGUCCUCAUGGCCCUUAUGGCCAGGGCUUCACACGUAAUACAAUGGUCGGUACAGAGGGUCGCCAACCCGCGAGGGGGAGCCAAUCCCAGAAAGCCGAUCGUAGUCCGGAUUGUUCUCUGCAACUCGAGAGCAUGAAGUCGGAAUCGCUAGUAAUCGCGGAUCAGCAUGUCGCGGUGAAUACGUUCCCGGG
rnacentral:rRNA from 1 species